rnacentral:rRNA from 1 species
UACGUAGGGUGCAAGCGUUAAUCGGAAUUACUGGGCGUAAAGCGUGCGUAGGCGGUUCGUUAAGUCAGUUGUGAAAGCCCCGGGCUCAACCUGGGAAUUGCGGUUGAAACUGGCGAACUAGAAUCUGGCAGAGGGGGGUGGAAUUCCACGUGUAGCAGUGAAAUGCGUAGAUAUGCGGAGGAACACCGAUGGCGAAGGCAAUCCCCUGGACCUGUACUGACGCUCAUGCACGAAAGCGUGGGGAGCAAACAGG